CAGCAGCAGCCACGGUAAUACGGAGGGUGCAAGCGUUAAUCGGAAUUACUGGGCGUAAAGCGCACGCAGGCGGUCUGACAAGUCAGAUGUGAAAUCCCCGGGCUUAACCUGGGAACUGCAUUUGAAACUGUCAGGCUGGAGUCUUGUAGAGGGGGGUAGAAUUCCAGGUGUAGCGGUGAAAUGCGUAGAGAUCUGGAGGAAUACCGGUGGCGAAGGCGGCCCCCUGGACAAAGACUGACGCUCAGGUGCGAAAGCGUGGGGAGCAAACAGGAUUAGAUACCCCUGUAGUCCCUGUCUCUUAUAA
rnacentral:rRNA from 1 species